rnacentral:rRNA from 1 species
CACGUAGUUAGCCGGUGCUUCUUCUGCAGGUACCGUCACUUUCGCUUCUUCCCUGCUGAAAGAGGUUUACGACCCGAAGGCCUUCAUCCCUCACGCGGCGUCGCUGCGUCAGGCUUUCGCCCAUUGCGCAAUAUUCCCCACUGCUGCCUCCCGUAGGAGUCUGGGCCGUGUCUCAGUCCCAGUGUGGCCGGUCGCCCCUCUCAGGCCGGCUACCCGUCGUCGCCUUGGUAGGCCAUUACCCCACCAACAAGCUGAUAGGCCGCGAGCUCAUCUCUGACCGAAAAACCUUUCCACGCACAGACCACUCGGCCAUACGUCAUAUCCGGUAUUAGCCACCGUUUCCCGUGGUUAUCCCAGAGUCAGAGGCAGAUUACUCACGUGUUACUCACCCGUUCGCCACUGAUCCACCCCCGAAGGGCUUCACCGUUCGACUUGCAUGUGUUAAGCACGCCGCCAGCGUCGUCUCGAGUCCACGGACGUCAAACGUACUACCUGUAGAACGUCGCCAACGGACGACGAACC